rnacentral:tRNA from 1 species
AUUUAUAUAGUAUAAAAGUAUGUAUGACUUCCAAUCAUAAGGUUUAAAAUCUAAUUUAAUAUAAAUA